GGCUGCCCAGGCUGGUGGUUGAUCAGCUGUGGUUGAUCGCAUGUACCAGGGUUGUUCGUGUUCAUUCUGCUAGUCAUUUAAACCACCCGAUUAGACAACAAUCACCCCAUUAAAAGGUGGAAACAUUUUACCAAUUACACCAUUAAAAUGGUGAAUGUGGUACGCGUUACCUUUGAAUAGUGAUUCAGAACCCCACAUCGUACUGUGUGAUACGCGACAUUUUCAAUGGUGAUUUUAACUGAGACUGAGUGCGCAUGUUCAGCAUAGAAGCCAAACCCAAAACCUUUCCCGGGAGUUCUUAGUGUGAAAGUCCUGGGUUUCGCGGGAAAUUGUCCUUGAGCUUUUGAUGGGGAGUGUACUGUGUGAUAUUUACAGAACAGAAUUGGUAACUAUGGGCGUUCACUUAAUACGUCCUGCAACACCCGGCGCCGCAAAGCUGCUGGUUAUAAGCGCAGUGUGUCUGUCUAUAACUUGUUCUGCGCAGAGGUGCUGAAGGGGAAAGUUGUCCGAUUUCGAGGAUCUGGGGGUGGAAGCUGUUGUCCUCAUCUUGAUUUUAAAAUUGAGAACAAAAGGAGGUGCAGCACCUGGCCACUAGUGGAGCGCAAACUGGAGUUGUCAGAGAAUUGGACCUUUCCUUUGCAGGUGUGAACACAACUGGACCACAGGAGGGUGGGAGGAGCCGAGCAGAUCUAGAUGAAUGUGGUGGAAAAGGUUGGUUCCCCUACCGCUCUUUUGAGGAGGGGACCAUCUUCAUUAGAUGUCUGGGGCAUGUUAACCAUCAAGCGACCGGCAUCUUUUGGAAAGCUGGAAGACAUACUGGCAAAGGCAGGGGACUUCAAAUUUGAAAUGAUCCCCCCCAGACGUGGCGAGGGCCAGCCGGGCCUCAGUGGACCUCUAGUCCACCCCAGACGUGGUGAGGGUCAGCCGGGCCCUUGUGGACCUCCAGUCCCUCCAAGAAGUGGCGAGGGCCAGCCGGGCCCCAGUGGAUUCCUAGCUGUAUUUUGUCUAAUCUAGGAAUUGAUAUGUUCCUUUUUAGCUAUCUUUCAGCAGUUUAUAUUUCUUUAUUGGCCCUUCUUUUACGAAGCGCAACAAACUGGGGACCAUUUGCAUGCAUGGGAAUGUGAGGGGUAGAAUGGGCCAAAAUGAAGUGUACACAAAUCAAGAUGUGUCUUGCCAGUACCCCCCUGGCCCCCAGGUCCUGCAUUUGCUGGGUCAGUGGGACCCAUAACUGACACUCUUGCCCACACCAUGCUGGUGUCAGAUGUGAGUCGGAAAAAUGUGGUUGUUUGCUUUGUUUUUAAUGGUGGGAAUUGAGUCACAAAAAUAUGUUGAAACCAAGUGUCCAGUAUAUUGAAUUGAAAUGUUUCCAUCUCAUGAGGAUAAGUAAUCUACCUGAUGUUUAUGUGAGACAGAAAGAGGAAUGAAAGUCAAAUGAAUUGUUUUGUUUAUGUGUUAUGCGUGUGAUAGUAUUUAACUGCAUGGCAGUACAUGUUAGUAUUUAGUCAAUUUCAUAACUAUACAUGAAAUAUGCAGUUGGUUAUAAUGAGUCCUAAUACAUACAUUUGUGUUCCAGAUAACCCCAGACACCCUGGUGACAUUGGUCAUCUCCCAACUUUAUGAACAUUUCAAAUAGAACAAAUCUUCCUAUUAGUAUUUUGGUGGUUAAUACAGGACAGACAAACACGUUCUCUACUUUCUCGUCACUUGCCUCCUUUUUGCAGUAAUGCUGCAGUCACUUGGUUGCAUGUACUGUAUGUAAACAUCCUAUUCAGAAUAUUGUUAAUAAAGAUAAUACCAUUUUUAAACAA